GCACCUUAGAAAAACGGGUGCCGGGAUUGAGACCCCGGAUAAUGCAAAAGGCGACACAGACGCCGAAAGCGUCUUUUUU
rnacentral:sRNA from 2 species